GGGGGAGUUGUGAUUCAGCGAAAUAAAAUGAUCCACCCUGCACGCGCACACACGGAAAUAGCACAACUUCGUUCUCCUGUGAUGCCCCCAAAGCUCGGCCUUGGAUGAAGAUGGGAAAUCCCACUUUGGGUGUAGUGGACGGUGUAAAUACUUAUGUUCAGGCCCGUGGAUGAGUCAUGUGCUUCUGCUGAGUGGCUGACCUCCCUUUUACUGAAGAAAACGCUUUGUUUUUGAAUUGUUGUUUUAAUCUGCUUGCUUAUUUGUUUGUUUAUGCAACCUGGUAAGGUUUAUCGUCUUGGUUCUUGGGUUCAUUUUUGUGUUUAUAUGUUGGUUACAAGUGACGUCUUGUACUCUGUGCCUUGUAAGAAUCGGAAAUGUUUUUUGAGAAGGCUCUUCUAAGUCCUUAGUUACCAAAAAAUCAAGCUGCAGUGUGUCUCUAAUCCAGUGACUUUUUGGUGCUGGAAUUAUGUUUGGGAGAUUUUUAUGAGUAGAACUGUUAAGUUUCCAAAAUUGUUAGCCCUGGGAAUUUGUAGAUCUUGGAAGUUGUAAAGAAAGUUAUAUUCAAAAGAAUUUAUGAAUGUGUUUCCAAUUUCAAGGCAAUCUUGUAUGCCACAGUCUGUUUUAUGACUUUGACAAUAAUUUAAUGAACAUUCCUUUAGGUUUAAUUUGGAUAGGAGUUAUCUUUUCACCAAGACAUGGUAGGUAGCCAACCCCUUCCCCCCAAAAAAAACUUUGGGGAAAAGUGAACCUCUAAGAUGAUUUCCAUUGAUCAAAUUGAGAUGGAAAAGCCUAAUCUGGAACUUACAUACAUUGCUGCUCUUAUCCUCCAUAACUCUUAACUUGGGUAGGCGUGGAAAGUAUCCAGAAGCUCAGGCUGGAGUAAAGUUGUCUAUAAACCUCUUAAGAUGAUUUUAGAUGGUUUCAACUGAAAGAUUCCACCUCCUUGUAACUUGCCAGCAUCUCAUACAUGUAGAUUGCUGAAAAUUAAAGGAAUUUUGCAUUCUGAGAAAUUAGAACCAUGAGAGUGGUUAAGGAUAGUUUGGGGUUUCUAUAUUCCUAGCUUGGAGAACAACAAGGCAAAAAAAAAAAAAGAAAGAAAGAAGAAAGGUUAGGCCUCUUUAGUAAAAUUUCCACUAAAUUAUUGAAUUGUUUAAAGGAAUUUAGACUUUGUUUCCAAAAGUUACCUUUUUGAGCCAGUUUUUGUGAUCUUUGUACUAAAUUUACCUUUUUUUGGAGGUGGGGGAGAAUGCAAUAUUUUCACAUUACACAAUUCAGGUUAUUGAAUGACUUGAGAUCCACAGAUUCUGGAGAGAUUUGAAGUUUGUUUUUUAAGCAAAAACUGUUUGAUGCCUCAGCAAUUUGAAUCCUGGGCUAUUAAAUGAGCUUCCUACAACCCACUGUCAUGGUCUGUCAAGAUUGUAUGGAUGUCAGUUAUUUUGAUUUCUAAUUUUGAUUAAUCUUGUAAAGUAGACCAUGUUGGUCUUAAUAAAAGGAGAGAAAAGCUGCUACUAAUGUUUCAUAAAUCUUUAUGUUUAGAAAAGACUGGACAUUUACUAGGUGAAUUGUGGGGGAUUCCUUAUUGAUGCUAACAUAAGACAUGUUUGUAAAAACAAAGUGUCCUUAAGCUACUUAAAAAUAAAUAAAUAAAUUUGGGCUGGGAUUGUGGCUCAGCGGUAGAGCACUGGCCUAGCAUGGGCACGACCCGGGUUCGAUUCUCAGCACCACAUAAAAAUAAAGGCAUUGUGUUGUGUCCAGCUACAAAAAGAUAUAUUCUCUCUCAAAAAAUAAAUAAAUAAGUUCCGUGAAGGCAUAGUUUUUUGUUUAUCAUUCUUUCUGUUUGUUGUGUACUCAAUGCUUAGAAGAUGAUCUUAAAUUCUUGAGUGAAUAAGCUAAGAGAUAAUUGAACAAGUAUUUGGCAUGUCCAUAUUACAAAAUGCAAGUAAUUCCUUUAAAAAUAUUGUUAGUGGACAUAAUUGAUCAAUAGUGACUAAUAAGG
rnacentral:lncRNA from 1 species